GGGGCUAUGUAGAAUAAGUAGUUAUUUGCUGAUUUGUAGAUACUUAGUUUAUAGUGUAAACAGGGAUAGAUGACUGUUGGAAAGGUAGUUCAGUAGUUAAAAUGGAUGAAUAGUUAGGAAAAGCAGUUUUCAUUAGAGAUGUAGCAGUUGGUAUCUCGUGGUAGGAUAAGGAGGAUGAGAGAGAGGAAGAAAGGGCCAUUACUGUGAUAGUGUGAGCCGGGAUAAGCUUGGUGCUACCUCUUUUCUUUUGUUGUUAUGUUCUUUGUAAUAAGAGUAUUGAGAGUUUCUGAAUAUUGUGAAGUGAAUCAUGGAAUGAAAGUGUGAUUGGAAUUAUAUGUUAUUGAAUGAGAAAAAGAGAGAUUGAAUGCUGAAAUCUAAAUGUAGUUCAGCAGAAAG
rnacentral:lncRNA from 1 species